ACAAAUUUUGGAAGGUCUAAGGUGUCUCUCUACUGAAUAUCAAGGGGCCACUCUGGUUUCUAUGAAAACUCAUAUGUUCUAAAUCGAGGAAUAAAGCCAGGUUCCAUUUGCUUUCUACUUGAGGCCCAUUAUUACCUAACAGAUAGAAUGUCAAGCCACUGGAAAAGUGUUAGGUAGGGGAAGGUGAAGGCCCUAAAUCCUUGUGUACGAUACAAUAGGGCAUGAAUCCUGAUGCUCAAUCACUAACUACUUAUGGAGCAAAGCAACUGAUGUCUGACCUGAGUUUUCAAGGUUAAGUCAGAGAAAGAGCUGUUUCUAAGGCACUGGGAAUGCAUGCAAAGCCAUUAAAAGAAAUGGUCUGUGCCGAGUUCCAGAAACGGCUGUAUGAGGUAAAACCAAAAAGAGGAAAGGCCAUGCGAAGACACUACAAGACAGCAGCCACCUGCAAGCCGAAGAAAGAGGCCACAGAAGAAACCAACCCUGAGGGCACCUGACCAUGACCUUAAGGCUUCCAGCCUCUGUAAUACUGAGAAAAUAAAUUUCUGUU